rnacentral:rRNA from 1 species
GGAAUCUUGGACAAUGGGGGCAACCCUGAUCCAGCGACGCCGCGUGGGUGAUGAAGGCCUUCGGGUUGUAAAGCCCUUUCACCGGGGACGAUGAUGACGGUACCCGGAGCAGAAGCACCGGCUAACCCAGUGCCAGCAGCCGCGGGAAGACGGAGGGUGCUAGCGUUGUUCGGAAUCACUGGCCGUAAAGGGCGCGUAGGCGGCGCGGCAAGUUGGCUGUGAAAGCCCGGGGCUCAACUCCGGAGGUGCAGCCGAGACUGCCGUGCUCGAGUCCGGAAGAGGAGGGUGGAAUACCCAGUGUAGAGGUGAAAUUCGUAGAUAUUGGGUGGAACACCGGUGGCGAAAGCGGCUCUCUGGUCCGGUUCUGACGCUGAGGCGCGAAAGCGUGGGGAGCAAAC